rnacentral:tRNA from 23 species
GGCUACAUAGCUCAGUUGGUUAGAGCACAUCACUCAUAAUGAUGGGGUCCCAGGUUCGAGUCCCGGUGUAGCCACCA